rnacentral:tRNA from 1 species
GGCCCUGUAGUUUAACAAAGGCGUCAGGCUGCAAUUCUGAAGAUGUAAUAAUACCUGGGCUU